GAUUAACGCUGGCGGCGUGCCUAACACUUGCAAGUCGAGCGGCAGCGAGUUUUACACUGACUUCUGGAAGCUUCUAGUUGAAAGAGAAGAUUUAUUCAAGAAUUUUGUGUAAAAUGUCGGCGAGCGGCGGACGGCUGAGUAACGCGUGGGAACGUACCCCAAAGUGAGGGAUCACGCAUCGAAAGGUGUGCUAAUACCGCAUAUGGUCUUCGGAUUAAAGCCUUCGGGCGCUUUGGGAACGGCCUGCGUAAGAUUAGAUAGUUGGUGGGGUAAUGGCCUACCAAGUCGACGAUCUUUAACUGGUUUGAGAGGAUGAUCAGUCAGACUGGAACUGAGACACGGUCCAGACUCCUACGGGAGGCAGCAGUGAGGAAUCUUCCACAAUGGGCGAAAGCCUGAUGGAGCAACGCCGCGUGCAGGAUGAAGGCCUUCGGGUUGUAAACUGCUUUUAUAAGUGAGGAUUAUGACAGUAACUUAUGAAUAAGGAUCGGCUAACUACGUG
rnacentral:rRNA from 1 species